GAUGUUAGCGGCGGACGGGUGAGUAACACGUGGGUAACCUGCCUGUAAGACUGGGAUAACUCCGGGAAACCGGGGCUAAUACCGGAUGGUUGUUUGAACCGCAUGGUUCAAACAUAAAAGGUGGCUUCGGCUACCACUUACAGAUGGAUCCCGCGGCGCAUUAGCUAGUUGGUGAGGUAACGGCUCACCAAGGCGACGAUGCGUAGCCGACCUGAGAGGGUGAUCGCCACACUGGGACUGAGACACGGCCCAGACUCCUACGGGAGGCAGCAGUAGGGAAUCUUCCGCAAUGGACGAAAGUCUGACGGCAACGCCGCGUGAGUGAUGAAGGUUUUCGGAUCGUUAAGCUCUGUUGUUAGGGAAGAACAAGUACCGUUCGAAUAGGGCGGUACCUUGACGGUACCUAACCAGAAAGCCACGGCUAACUACGUGCCAGCAGCCGCGGUAAUACGUAGGUGGCAAGCGCUUGUCCGGAAUUAUUGGGCGUAAAGGGCUCGCAGGCGGUUUCUUAAGUCUGAUGUGAAAGCCCCCGGCUCAUCCGGGGAGGGUCAUUGGAAACUGGGGAACUUGAGUGCAGAAGAGGAGAGUGGAAUUCCACGUGUAGCGGUGAAAUGCGUAGAGAUGUGGAGGA
rnacentral:rRNA from 1 species